rnacentral:rRNA from 1 species
GACGAACGCUGGCGGCGUGCUUAACACAUGCAAGUCGAACGGAAAGGCCCUGCUUUUGUGGGGUGCUCGAGUGGCGAACGGGUGAGUAACACGUGAGUAACCUGCCCUUGACUUUGGGAUAACUUCAGGAAACUGGGGCUAAUACCGGAUAGGAGCUCCUGCUGCAUGGUGGGGGUUGGAAAGUUUCGGCGGUUGGGGAUGGACUCGCGGCUUAUCAGCUUGUUGGUGGGGUAGUGGCUUACCAAGGCUUUGACAGGUAGCCGGCCUGAGAGGGUGACCGGCCACAUUGGGACUGAGAUACGGCCCAGACUCCUACGGGAGGCAGCAGUGGGGAAUAUUGCACGAUGGGCGGAAGCCUGAUGCAGCAACGCCGCGUGCGGGAUGACGGCCUUCGGGUUGUAAACCGCUUUCGCCUGUGACGAAGCGUGAGUGACGGUAAUGGGUAAAGAAGCACCGGCUAACUACGUG